rnacentral:lncRNA from 1 species
AUCUGACUACUCUAGGUACCUCAGAUGAGUGGAAUUAUGCAGUAUUUGUCCUUUUGUGUGUACAACUAAUUUGACAGGCAGUAUGAUAAGGAACAAUCUGAAUGACACGUAAACAGGAGGGGGUAAAUUCCAAGCACAGCCUGAAUGAGAAGUACAACUCAUUUCCUGUAACCUAGAUGCCUUUUUAACACAUCUAUGCAGUCUCCAUGUGAAACCAGGUGCUGUUCCCAAAGGAGAAAACACUGCCCUCCAGUGGUCUUCAAUGAAGAAAUGGAAAUAGUUUCAGGUGGAAACCAGGCUUCUUGGAAGACUUCAAACUAUGCCAAAUGGUCUGAUUUCACCAUAGAGAUUCUUUGCUGAAGAAUGCAGCUGUAUUAAAGGAAGAAAGAAAACCAAGCUACAGCUCCUUAUAAUUCAACAAGCAUUUAAAAGAUUUAUAAAGAUGGUGCAAUUAUGUAUUUAAGCUGCUUCAACACAAGUUCUUGCCUUUCACUCCCACCCUGUGGCUUACACUGGUAUUACAUCUAUUCUGACAUUUAAAAAUCAACAUUAAAGAACAUAUUGUAAUAAUGUA